AAUAGAUACCCCGGUAGUCCACGCCGUAAACGAUGAGUGCUAAGUGUUAGAGGGUUUCCGCCCUUUAGUGCUGAAGUUAACGCAUUAAGCACUCCGCCUGGGGAGUACGGCCGCAAGGCUGAAACUCAAAGGAAUUGACGGGGGCCCGCACAAGCGGUGGAGCAUGUGGUUUAAUUCGAAGCAAUGCGAAGAACCUUACCAGGUCUUGACAUCCUCUGACAACCCUAGAGAUAGGGCUUCUCCUUCGGGAGCAGAGUGACAGGUGGUGCAUGGUUGUCGUCAGCUCGUGUCGUGAGAUGUUGGGUUAAGUCCCGCAACGAGCGCAACCCUUGAUCUUAGUUGCCAUCAUUUAGUUGGGCACUCUAAGGUGACUGCCGGUGACAAACCGGAGGAAGGUGGGGAUGACGUCAAAUCAUCAUGCCCCUUAUGACCUGGGCUACACACGUGCUACAAUGGAUGGUACAAAGAGCUGCAAGACCGCGAGGUGGAGCUAAUCUCAUAAAAACCGUUCUCAGUUCGGA
rnacentral:rRNA from 1 species